rnacentral:rRNA from 1 species
GGCUACGAGGACGAACGCUGGCGGCGUGCCUAAUACAUGCAAGUUGAACGCAACAAAGACACCAGAGCUUGCUCUACCGUCUUUGUUGAGUAGCGAACGGGUGAGUAACGCGUGGGUAACCUGCCUUAUAGCGGGGGAUAACUAUUGGAAACGAUAGCUAAUACCGCAUAACAAUAGAGAUUGCAUAAUCUUUAUUUGAAAGUGCCAACUGGUACACUAUGAGAUGGACCCGCGUUGUAUUAGCUAGUUGGUAGUGUAAUGGACUACCAAGGCGAUGAUACAUAGCCGACCUGAGAGGGUGAUCGGCCACAUUGGGACUGAGACACGGCCCAAACUCCUACGGGAGGCAGCAGUAGGGAAUCUUCGGCAAUGGACGAAAGUCUGACCGAGCAACGCCGCGUGAGUGAAGAAGGUUUUCGGAUCGUAAAACUCUGUUGUUAGAGAAGAAUGUUGAUUAGAGUGGAAAAUUAAUCAAGUGACGGUAUCUAACCAGAAAGGGACGGCUAACUACGUG